CAGGUCCUUUGCUUCCUCCUGCAGCACAGCCUGGAGCCUGACUCCUGCACAUGGUGGUAGUAAUAGAAACACCUGAUGCUCCAUGGUGAAGGAUCCUCAGAGGUAGAGGAGGACACGCCCCGCCCAGACCUGGUCUUAUCAUCAGUUACGUCAUAUAAAGCGAAAAAUACAGUAAUUCUAACUCGCCAGCAGUUUUGUACAAGGACAUCAUGAUGGAGGAUCACCACCCGCUCACAUCACCAGUUAAGGAAGAGAGAAGAACACCGGAGAGAUGUCCCAGUCCUCUUCUUCCACAGGAUGGUU